rnacentral:rRNA from 1 species
GUGGGUAGCGGUGAAAUUCCAAUCGAGCCCGGAGAUAGCUGGUUCUCCCCGAAAUAGCUUUAGGGCUAGCCUCAAGGUGAGAGAUACGGAGGUAGAGCACUGAAUGUCCUAGGGGGUAUUGCACCUACCGAAGACUAUCAAACUCCGAAUGCCGUCAUCUUAUACUUGGGAGUCAGACUGUGGGUGAUAAGAUUCAUAGUCGAAAGGGCAACAGCCCAGAUCGUCAGCUAAGGUCCCUAAAUGUAAGUUAAGUGGUAAAGGAUGUGGGAUUGCACAGACAACCAGGAUGUUGGCUUAGAAGCAGCCACUCAUUCAAAGAGUGCGUAAUAGCUCACUGGUCGAGUGAUCCUGCGCCGAAGAUUUCCGGGGCUAAAACUUACUACCGAAGCUACGGCAUCAGUAAUGAUGGGUAGGGGAGCUUCCCAUACGGGUUGAAGCAUGACCGUAAGGACAUGUGGACAGGAUGGGAGUGAGAAUGUUGGCAUGAGUAGCGAGAUGUGGGUGAGAAUCCCACAGGCCGUAAACCCAAGGUUUCCAGGGGAAGGUUCGUCCGCCCUGGGUUAGUCGGGACCUAAGCUGAGGCCGAAAGG